rnacentral:rRNA from 1 species
GACGAACGCUGGCGGCGUGCUUAACACAUGCAAGUCGAACGGAAAGGCCCUGCUUUUGUGGGGUGCUCGAGUGGCGAACGGGUGAGUAACACGUGAGUAACCUGCCCUUGACUUUGGGAUAACUUCAGGAAACUGGGGCUAAUACCGGAUAGGAGCUCCUGCUGCAUGGUGGGGGUUGGAAAGUUUCGGCGGUUGGGGAUGGACUCGCGGCUUAUCAGCUUGUUGGUGGGGUAGUGGCUUACCAAGGCUUUGACGGGUAGCCGGCCUGAGUGGGUGACCGGCCACAUUGGAACUGAGAUACGGCCCAGACUCCUACGGGAGGCAGCAGUGGGGAAUAUUGCACAAUGGGCGGAAGUCUGAUGCAGCAACGCCGCGUGCGGGAUGACGGCCUUCGGGUUGUAAACCGCUUUCGCCUGUGACGAAGCGUGAGUGACGGUAAUGGGUAAAGAAGCACCGGCUAACUACGUG